AUUGAAUCAGAAACCCUAAUUCCCAAAUUAAUUGAGAAACCUAACCCUAGCCUCCCUCACCACAGCCGCACCCCACCCCUUUUCACCCCUUUAGUGCAACAAUUUCAGAAACGAGAAAUCAGAGAGGGAGAGUGAGGAAACAGAGGAGAGAAUAGAGGAAGCAGGGGCUGUUCGCCGUCACUGCCGCCUCCCUGGAGCUCGCCGCCAAGCUGCUUCAUGGCGUCGUCCCGUCCAUGGAGCCAUAAGCUCGCGUCACCGCCGAUCCGUCCACAAGUCGUCGUCGAGGGGACAGAAUCGCGAAGAGAGAGAGACGCACGAACAAGAGAGGCCCGCAACCAGCCUUGUCGCUUCCAUCCUUGCGCCGCCGCCGUCGCCCUCAUCGCCACUCCGUGGAGCCCGCUUCGUCACCGUCGUCGAGGUCUUCAUCGUUGCCGUCACUAGAGGUCUAUGAACAGAGAGAAGACGCACGAGGAAUGAGAAGCCUUCCCCGUCACCGUUCCACCUCAACCUGGCAUCGCCAUCAUCGUCGCCAGGGAAGUCGCCGUCAUUGUCGUGGCCUGGUGCCGUCGAUGGAAGCCACCGCCAUCGCCUGAGAAGAACCCGAAGAGAGAGAGGGAGCUUGUAGAGAGGAACGCGAAGCAGGAGCCUCCGUGUCGCGCCGCCAAUCUGUCACCGUGUUACUGCGUCGCCGUUAAUGAAACUUCUGCCACCGUCAUGAACUACGAAUAGAGGAGAGGAAAAGAGAUGAGUUCGCAAGGGAGAAGAGGAAGCAACGCUAUCCUUCCAUCGCCGCUGCUGUCAAGGUUUGUGGAAGAGAGUGUCACCGUCGCCGUGGGUGGAGUCCACUGUCUGAGCUGCCACCAUAGGAAGCCGCUGCCACUAUGUGUACAGAGAAGAGGAGCGCCGCGAGAAUCAAGGGAAGAAGAUGUUGUUCUGCCUCUGCUUCUGGUUUCUGGAAUCUAACAGAGCGCCACUGCCGUCGAUCGGAGAUGCUAAAAUUGCCGUUGCUGCUGAUGGAUUCGAAAUACUUGGUUGUGGCGUUUAGGCUCUGCAAUUUCGACAUCGAGGUAUGGGGUUUUCACCUAAUCUACUUCCUCUGUGGUGAUGUGAUUGAUAGAGAUUCUCCAGCAAAGUAUGGAGUUUCUACCUAAUCUACUUUCUCUGUGGUGAUGUGAUUGACAGAGUUUCUCCAGCAAACUAUUGCAUAGACAUGCAACUCUUUGCCCUGAAUUUAAGAGGUUCAUUGAGAAAAGAAUGGGCUUUGUCACACUAAGAUGGCAUCACAUUACUUUUUGUCUAACUAGGGAAUUGCCUCCUUCAAAGAGAAAUAUGUGGAGUAGGUUAUCUUCCCUUGAAAAUAUCUUCUGCACACAUAAUAAUAUUCUGCCAUAUAUUCUUCACUAAAAAUGUGGAAAUCCCUAUUAAGCUGUUGAAAAGACAUGCAGGUCUUUGCCCCUGAAUUUAAGAGGUUCAAUGAGAAAGGAAUGGGUUUUGUGAGAAUAAGAUGGCAUUACUGUACUGUUUGUCUAACUAGGGAAUUCCCUCCUUCAAAGAUCAAUACGUGGAGUAGGUUAUCUUCCUUUGAAAAUGUCUUCUGCAGAGAUAAUGAUGUUCUACCAUGUAUUCUUCAUUGAAAAUGUGGGAAUCCCUAUCAAGGUAUGGGGUUUCUAUCUAAUCUAUUUGGUGAGUGGUGAUGUCAUUGAUAGGAAUUGAUUGAUAGUUUCUUGGUCAUUUAUUUGCAUUUUGAUGAAACCUUUGGUUAGUCAACUCAAUUGCAUUUCAAUUUUUUAUUGAUUAUGCAAAAACUGCUGUAUAUUUCACCUCUUGCAUAGAACUAGAGCUGUUUGUCAUGAAUUUGUGUGCUUCAUUGAGAAAGGAAUGGGCUUGUGCCACUCCUAUUCAAGUUUUGCAUUCCCAAUUCCAUUCUCUCCUAUUCAAGUUUUGCAUUCCCGUUUUCAUUCUCAUUCAAUAAUCCCUUUGAAUUGUUUGGGGUGAAUCUAGGAAUUUAUAAUGUUUUCUGCAUUUAAAAUCAUGUUCUACAAUAUAUGCUUGAUGUCAAAUUUUAUGAAGCACUCAAAUAAUUAUAUCCAAAGUAGACCCAUUCAUUCCAAUAUUAAAAACUGAUGAAUCUAUUUUUUUCUGUGUAUAUUCAACAAAUCCAUUAAGUUUACAUAAAGUGAAUUGCUGGUUGCAUGUGGGUUGUGUGAAUCAUUAUCAAGGAAUGGGUUUUGUACCUAAUCUAUUCUAUGAGUGGUGAUGUGAUUGAUAGAAAUUGAUGUAUAACUUCUUGGUCAUUUAUUUAUAUUUUGAUUUCAACUCAAUUGUAUUUCAUUUUUUUAUUGUUGAUAUAAAAAUUAUUUUAUAUUUUAGCUAUUGCAUAGACAUGCAGCUCUUUGCCCUGAAUUUAAGAGGUUCAUUACGAAAAGAAUGGGCUUUGUCACACUAAGAUGGCAUCACAGUACUGUUUGUCUAACUAGGAAAUUCCCUCCUUCAAAGAGAAAUACGUGGAGUAGGUUAUCUUCCUUUGAAAAUAUCUUCUGCACACAUAAUGAUGUCCUGCCAUAUAUUCUUCACUGAAAAUGUGGGAAUCCCUAUGAAGGUAUGGGGUUUCUAUGUAAUUUAUUUGGUGAGUGGUGAUGUGAUUGAUAGGAGUUGAUUGAUAGCUUCUUGGUCAUUUAUUUGUAUUUUGAUGAAACCUUAGGUUAGUCAACUCAAUUGCAUUUUAAUAUUUUAUUGGUUAUGCAAAAACUGGUGUAUAUUUCACCUCUUGCAUAGAACUGGAGCCGUUUAUCAUGAAUUUGUGUGCUUCAUUGAGAAAGGAAUAGGCUUGUGCCUCUAAAAUGGGUUCACGGUACUGUUUGUCUAACUAGCAAACUUCUUUAUCCAAAGAGAAAUCUAUCCAGCAGGUCUACCUUCCCUUGAAAAUGUCUUCUGCACACAUAAUCAUGUUGUGCCAUACAUUCUUCAUUGGAAAUUUGGGAAUCAUUAUGAAGGUAUGGGGUUUCUAUCUAAUCCAUUUCACGAUUGUUGAUGUGAUUGACAGAAUUUUAUUGAUGUGUGUCUAUAAUUUUGUUCACAUUCAUUUGCUGUUUCGAACCUAUGCCUACCUAAUACAUUUACCAACUCUCAUUACCAUGAGUAGAAUCAUUAUUUGAGGUGGUUGAUGAUUGCCUUCCCUAUGGUCUAAUGAUAUGUAGGUGCACUAUAUUAGGUAUUGUGUGAUAUCUUCUUUCUUUGGUCCCUAUUCCUUGAAUUCUUCAAACUUUCACUUGUUUUUUUCCUUUUUUUUUUUCAGGUUUUGCUCUUGUUAUUAGUUUUCCCUAUGCCAUUGAAUGGAGAUGCAUGUGGACUGAGAUUUUCCUUUCCCUCCAUUUCCAUGUUUAAUUUGAAUUAAAAAAGCAAUGCCUCCUCCAAUUGAUAUGAUUUCUAAGAUGCAUCCUCCUAGAGAGGCUUGGAGGCUAAAAGUUAGGGUUCUAAGGCUUUGGGUUGUACCCUCUUUUGGUAACCAUGAAGUUCCUAACUCAAUGGAUAUGAUUUUUCUUGAUGAGCAUGUUAGCCCCUAUUAGCUAUUGUUUUAAAUAUGGUGUUAGUUGUUGUUUUUCAGUUUUCAACUUAAAAUUAUGUUUUUAACUAAUCUGAUUUUUUUUUGUUGCAUUUCCAGUGUGAAAAAAUUCAAGCUACAGUUAAGAAACAGGUUCUUAAUAGGUUUAGGGAUCAUAUAGUUGAAGGUCAAGUUUAUAGAAUGGCAUACUUUACUGUUGUGUCAAAUCAUGGUAGUUAUAGAGCAACUUCUCAUGAAUUUAAAUUGGUUUUCCUUCACCGAACCACUAUUGUACCUGUUGAUGAAGAUGUUAUUCCAAAGACUUGUUUCAACAUGUUUCCUUUUUCUGAGCUGCUGAACAUGACCCAAGAUUAUGAUUUUUUUGUUGAUGUCAUUGGUCUUUUAACUUCAGUGGGUGAAGAGAAAGAAUAUGCAAAAGAGGAGAAAAUUAUGAAAAUGAUUGUGCUCGAAUUAACUUCAAAAGAUGCGUUGUGCAUUGUUUGGGAACUAUGUUAAUCAAGUAAAUCAUUUCCUAGCCUCUGGCUAUGUGGAGCAGCCUGUUGUUGUCAUUCAACUUCCAAAAGUCAAGUUCUUUAGGGUCAAGUAGGUCUCCAAAAUGUGAUGUAUGCCACUCAAAUGUUAUUCAAUCCUGAUAUUCCUGAAGUUGUUGAAUUCAGGCAGAGGUGUCAAUGGUACCCAGCCAUUGUUCAUCGCAAAUGAGGAAAAAGUUGUCUCCUUGGAAGAUGAUUUCAUGCGUUUAACUAGAAGAUGCACUAUUGAAGACUCCAAGAUAACAAUGAGGAGGGUUCUUUUAUCAUUUUUGGUACAAUCAGAGGUAUUGUUGAGGAUGGAAGUUGGUGGUAUUCUACUUGUGUGUGUGGAAAGGGUAUCUAUCCUCAAAAUAGUGCAUACUACUGUGAUUUCAGUGUGAAGCAUAUAACUAAUGUCACUUCAAGAUUUAAAAUUAAAAUAACACUUGAAGAUCAUAGUGGAGAGGGUAUUUUCGUUCUCUUUGAUUGUGAAGCAUCUUAUUUGUUUAAGAAAUCAUGCACUGACUUGUUUACUGAGGUUCAAAAAGAUCCAAGCGUAUGUGCUUAGUUUUCUUUUGUGUGUUGUUCACUUUAUGUGGUUCAUUUUUUUUAUACCCAUAUUCUUUAUUUUGGUUCAUAUGUGUUAUUCAAAGUGUGUAUCUCUUAUCUAUAACCUUGAAAAUAGCUUAUAUGUGGGAUGCUUAUCCUCCCAUAUUCCAAGGGCUCAUUGGAAAAAAGUUGCUGCUGAAGAUUUAUACCAAAGGUGUCAGACUUGAUAAAUUUUAUGGCACUUUCCGAGUUAGGAGAGUAUGUGAUGAUCCCAUCAUUAUAGCUAUGUUUGAACUUCCCGAUUAUGAUGCUGAUGAUGAGUUUACUCCAAAAAAGGAGCCUGAAUUGAACAAAUCUGUUCCCUAUGGAAAUGGGGAUAUUGGUAUUAAGAAUGAGUCAUCAAGGACUUUUACCAAAAGUGAAAAAGUUACUGCUGAGUCUUUUGGGAUUUUAUGUAAAUCCCCAGUUCUUAUAGAUUUUCUGGCUGAAAAAUAGCCUGAUGUUUUUGGAGGGACUGAAGUUGCUACCUUAAUUAAUCAUGAAAGUGGAAAAACUGAAAAAACACCGGAGAAUGAUACCCUUAGCGAUGAUCUUUCUGUUGAACUGGAUAUAUUGCUUAGCUCACCAGUGAAAGAAACUCAGGAGGUGUUCUCCCAAGUUCUUGAUGCAUCUUCCAAAUAUGGAGAGAGGGUUAAUCAUGAAGAUCGUGUUGUCACUUCCAAGGGCAAGAGGAAUUUGAAUCCCCAAUUUGACGAGGUGGCUAAUGAUGCAGAUGGGCGUGGGUCCAAGAUUGCCAAGGUUGAUGGAGCUUGAUUUAAGUUGUGGAAUUGAGCUGCUGUGUGUAGGUGUAGGUAUUUUAUAUAGUAUAUCUAUAAGUGUUUAGAAAGGCUUAUGAUUCCAAGUGGAUCUAAAUGUAAUCAAGCUGGCUGGAUACUAUUUUGAUUUGACUUUUUUGGAUUGUGUCUAACAAAUAGGAUUGUCAGAUAUAGGGGUUUUCCUUGUGUGUUGGCUCAGGUCAGGUGUCAACUAUGUCUAUUCUCAACCCCUUCUUUUGUAAUAGUGACUUUGCUAGGGAUUGGACACAUUUUCAAUGCUGUAACCUAUAUAGGUUACAUACUAGGAUAUGUAGUUAGAUGUUGGAAUCCUCCUUAUCAUAGGAGAGAUAGCCAUAUCUAAUUGGGUAUAUCAAUAUCAAUAUAUUAGUGAAAUGCAGUCGUUCUUAUUAUUA